GGGUUGUGAGGUUAAGCGACUAAGCGUACACGGUGGAUGCCCUGGCAGUCAGAGGCGAUGAAGGGCGUGCUAAUCUGCGAUAAGCGCCGGUAAGGUGAUAUGAACCGUUAUAACCGGCGAUACCCGAAUGGGGAAACCCAGUGUGAUUCGUCACACUAUCAUUAACUGAAUCCAUAGGUUAAUGAGGCGAACCGGGGGAACUGAAACAUCUAAGUACCCCGAGGAAAAGAAAUCAACCGAGAUUCCCCCAGUAGCGGCGAGCGAACGGGGAGGAGCCCAGAGCCUGAAUCAGCAUGUGUGUUAGUGGAAGCGUCUGGAAAGGCGCGCGAUACAGGGUGACAGCCCCGUACACAAAAGCGCAUGUGCUGUGAGCUCGAUGAGUAGGGCGGGACACGUGGUAUCCUGUCUGAAUAUGGGGGGACCAUCCUCCAAGGCUAAAUACUCCUGACUGACCGAUAGUGAACCAGUACCGUGAGGGAAAGGCGAAAAGAACCCCGGCGAGGGGAGUGAAAAAGAACCUGAAACCGUGUACGUACAAGCAGUGGGAGCACCCUUUGGGGUGUGACUGCGUACCUUUUGUAUAAUGGGUCAGCGACUUAUAUUCUGUAGCAAGGUUAACCGAAUAGGGGAGCCGGAGGGAAACCGAGUCUUAACCGGGCGUUAAGUUGCAGGGUAUAGACCCGAAACCCGGUGAUCUAGCCAUGGGCAGGUUGAAGGUUGGGUAACACUAACUGGAGGACCGAACCGACUAAUGUUGAAAAAUUAGCGGAUGACCUGUGGCUGGGGGUGAAAGGCCAAUCAAACCGGGAGAUAGCUGGUUCUCCCCGAAAGCUAUUUAGGUAGCGCCUCGUGAAUUCAUCUCCGGGGGUAGAGCACUGUUUCGGCUAGGGGGCCAUCCCGGCUUACCAACCCGAUGCAAACUGCGAAUACCGGAGAAUGUUAUCACGGGAGACACACGGCGGGUGCUAACGUCCGUCGUGAAGAGGGAAACAACCCAGACCGCCAGCUAAGGUCCCAAAGUCAUGGUUAAGUGGGAAACGAUGUGGGAAGGCCCAGACAGCCAGGAUGUUGGCUUAGAAGCAGCCAUCAUUUAAAGAAAGCGUAAUAGCUCACUGGUCGAGUCGGCCUGCGCGGAAGAUGUAACGGGGCUAAACCAUGCACCGAAGCUGCGGCAGCGACACUCAGGUGUUGUUGGGUAGGGGAGCGUUCUGUAAGCCUGUGAAGGUGUGUCGUGAGGCAUGCUGGAGGUAUCAGAAGUGCGAAUGCUGACAUAAGUAACGAUAAAGCGGGUGAAAAGCCCGCUCGCCGGAAGACCAAGGGUUCCUGUCCAACGUUA
rnacentral:rRNA from 1 species